rnacentral:rRNA from 1 species
GACGAACGCUGGCGGCGUGCUUAACACAUGCAAGUCGAACGGAAAGGCACUGCUUUUGUGGGGUGCUCGAGUGGCGAACGGGUGAGUAACACGUGAGUAACCUGCCCUUGACUUUGGGGUAACUUCAGGAAACUGGGGCUAAUACCGGAUAGGAGCCCCUGCUGCAUGGUGGGGGUUGGAAAGUUUCGGCGGUCGGGGAUGGACUCGCGGCUUAUCAGCUUGUUGGUGGGGUAGUGGCUUACCAAGGCUUUGACGGGUAGCCGGCCUGAGAGGGUGACCGGCGACAAUGGGACUGAGGUAGGGACCAGUCUGCAACAGGAGGCAGCAGUGGCAAAUAUUGCCCAGUGAUAGGAAGCCUGUUACAACAACGCCGCGUGCGGGAUGACGGCCUUCGGGUUGUAAACCGCUUUCGCCUGAGACGAAGCGUGAGUGACGGUAAUGGGUAAAGAAGCACCGGCUAACUACGUG